rnacentral:rRNA from 1 species
ACACGACUACAUUAGAUACCCCUGUAGUCCUAGGCGUAAAUGAUGCGAGUUAAGUNUGGGGGCAUCUACGAGAUGGCCCUGUGCUGUAGGGUAGCCGUUAAACUCGCUGCCUGGGGAGUACGGUCGCAAGGCUGAAACUUAAAGGAAUUGGCGGGGGAGCACCACAAGAGGUGGAGGCUGCGGUUCAAUUGGACUCAACGCCGGAAAACUCAUCGGGAGCGACAGCAGUAUGAUUGCCAGGUUGAUAACCUUGCUUGACAAGCUG